rnacentral:rRNA from 1 species
AGAUUGAACGCUGGCGGCAUGCCUAACACAUGCAAGUCGAACGGGAGUAGCAAUACUCUAGUGGCGGACGGGUGAGGAAUACGUAGGAAUUUGCCCUUAAGUGGGGGAUAACCCGGGGAAACCCGGAUUAGUACCGCAUGACCUCGAAAGAGCAAAGUGGGGGAUCGCAAGACCUCACGCUUUUGGAGAAGCCUACGUCGGAUUAGCUAGUUGGUGAGGUAAUGGCUCACCAAGGCGACGAUCCGUAACUGGUCCUGAGAGGAUGAUCAGUCACACCGGAACUGAGACACGGUCCGGACUCCGUACGGGAGCAGCAGUGGGG